rnacentral:rRNA from 1 species
CCUACGGGCGGCAGCAGUGGGGAAUAUUGGGCAAUGGGCGCAAGCCUGAUCCAGCAACGCCGCGUGAAGGAAGAAGGCUUUCGGGUUGUAAACCUCUUUUAUUGAGGACGAAACAAAUGACGGUACUCAAUUAAUAAGCCCCGGCUAACUACGUGCCAGCAGCCGCGGUAAUACGUAGGUGGCAAGCGUUAUCCGGAUUUACUGGGUGUAAAGGGCGAGUAGGCGGGGCUGCAAGUCAGAUGUGAAAACCAUGGGCUCAACCCAUGGUCUGCAUUUGAAACUGGAGGUCUUGAGUGAUGGAGAGGCAGGCGGAAUUCCGGGUGUAGCGGUGAAAUGCGUAGAUAUACGGAGGAACACCAGUGGCGAAGGCGGCCUACUGGACAUUAACUGACGCUGAGGCGCGAAAGCGUGGGGAGCAAACAGGAUUAGAUACCCGAGUAGUC